UUGCAAGCCAACCUAAGGUGCAUUACCGCCACCUGCUGGCCUGGAGCGUGGAACGCUAAUAGUCCACCGCUGGACAUGGAGUAGUGCUAGGUAUAAAACUUUCAGUAGACGGCCAGCUAAACACAUGGAUGAGUGAAAGUACCAUCUGAGUUGUAAAGUAGUUUUAGGUCACACCUUAUAUUUUUUUUGACUGAGUUUUAUACUGGAAGCUCGUUUUAAAGUUUCAUGAUAUAUGAAGGAUGGACUGACUCUGAGGACCAGGACAACAAGGAAACGCCAGGGCUGUUGUCUUGGAUUUAAUAACGUGGAUACUUUGGCACAAAGGGAGAGGAGUAAAAAUCAUCUGGUUUAAGGUUCCACCUCUUGCCUUGUCACUUGGACACUUGGCUUGGAUUGGUUACAUGUUUUGGACUUCCUCAUUCUGCCUCUGAUUCUCCCUGCUCAUUUUGACUCCCUGAACUGAAAGUGUGAAAAUCAGUUACCAGUCACCAAAGCAGAUGUUUACGGAGAAGCUUCUGAUCAAGCCAUACUGGAAGGAACAUACUGUAGCUGAGCAGCCUUUGAGGAAAUGGCAAAAUUUGACAUCACACAAAUGGCUGUUGGAUUGUUUUUAUUUUUGUACACACAUGACACAUUUCGGUUAAGUCUAUUUACAUCUGUAGGUAGUAAGUUAGUUAGCUGGACGUGUUAAUAGCUGCACCACCAUUAGCAGUCAGACACAAACAAACUAAUCCACUUCAAACACUGUAGCUCUUGUGUUUUUGGUUUUGAAAAAGGAAAAGGAAAAAAAAAACUCAAAACUCAUUAUACAAGGGGCAUUACUUUUACAGCAGCCCCUAUACCUACUGCAUCGCCAUGCAGAAAUCCAAAGCUUGACAAGCCUGCUGCGCUUACUUGUUAUGCUAUGACAGGACAAUGGCUGUUUGCAGGAGGGUUUAGUGAAUUGUCAGUUACAGUAUUACAAAUGAAUGUUCCUUGGCUUUCAAAGAUAUUUCAGUAAAAUAAAGCUUAUGACAAAUUAGGGAGCAAGGAAAGUGGUUUUAUGCAAAUGAUUAAAUCACCAGGUUAGUUGGGUAGUAGUAAGCAGUGCCAUGUCUGGAUAUUGUAGAGAAAUUUUCACAUGCUGUGUAACAUAUUUAUUCAUGACUACUCCUCAAGCACAGAAGCAAAGAGCAACUGAGAGCAACAACACACAUCUGUUCACUGAAAUCGGUCUGAAACCCUUUUAUCUUCAACCCUCUUGAAAUCCUAUCGACAGAUAAUAACACACUUCAGUUUCAAGGGUUCAACAAGUGGGAGCCUCAUUCUUUUUGCUACUCCUUUCCCAUCUUGAUAAUUGUUAAAAACAAUGUACAAAAAAAAGUAAGCAAGUGAAAAAGGUAUUUUUCAUAGCUGGGGCUUUGUUCUCUAGACUUUUCAUUCAUCCUCUGAUAUCCAUUCAGUAAAAUUUCCUUAAAAUGUGGUAGUUUUCAGUUUUGCUUUUGUCCUGUGUCAGUCAACAGACGAUGGCAUGUAGAUGGUUGAGUUAGACUUUAAUUACAGCCUUAUUGUGUGAAGUGUUGAAAGGCAACCAUUCAAGAACUUUAAUAACUUAUGCAUUAAAGGAUAGCUGGGUAUUAAUGACACAUCAUCAGAAAUGUAAAGGAACCUGACCUGACUGUAUAGCCUACCGUCUGACCUAUAGCAUACAAGGGUUUUGGUUCAGUAAGUAGUUGUGCGUGUGCUACACAGCUGAGGCCCACCUCACAGUAUCACGGUGUACAGAGAGCUCAGUUUCACUGCCUCAUGCGCCUAGCACAGGUUGAAUUAAGGUUCUGAGGUCCUUUCCUAUCAGUAUGACUGAUCGCCUCCCUGUCUGCUGAACUAGCACAAACUGUUGAUGCACUGCAUUGACUGGUAUUGAUCGAAGCAUCUCACUUCAACAAUACAGUGCCUAAUACAAUCACGCUUAUUGAGAUUGUUGAUGAGUGUACUGUCAUUAUAUAUAAUGUGUGUAUUUUUGAUUAAUGUUUUUGAUAAGACUGAUAUGACCAUAGAUUUUCAAAGAACGUUGUGCAGAUUUAUUCAUCAGCAAAGGCUUACCCUUAAUCUGUGUUAUCUUAAAGGGAAGUGCACUGUAAAGAUGUGUAUGUUUAAACCAUGCUAGUGCUAAUGCAACACUGUAGAGAAUAGCUAGCAGUACAGUGACACAAAACCUUGAAUUAUGUUCAGUUAUAAUGUUUUGUCUUUUUUAUUCCAGUGCCAAAUAAUCUAUGCUUAAUAUUAGGCAACUAAAACACUUGUUUAAUGUUAGGGAAUAAUUGUGGCUAUGAUAGUAAAAAGCCUAACAUAUUUUGCAUGUUUGUCAUGGGACACAAAUUGCCUAUCCACCACUUGCACCUCGACACCCUCACUUGCCACCUUGCACAUUAUUUCCUGCUUUGGUAUUUACUGAAUUAGCACUGAAUGUAAAUUGUGAACUGCAGGAUGAUCCAAUAUGAACAUAAUUCUGUGGAGUACUGGGCUACAUGUACCUAGAGUAGGGCUCAGCAAUUAAUCAAAUUUUAUUUUCAAUUACUGUAUGAUUUUAGGCUUCCAAUGAUUAUGAAAACAAAAUAAUUGAGAUAAAACUAUUAUUGACGCACUUUGUUUCACACUCUGUCUGGUGUUAUAAACGCACCCCUUCAGCCUUCUGCAUAAUUUUUUGCUCAUGUCGGGUGAAAUUAAACAAUCUAA